rnacentral:rRNA from 1 species
AUUGAACGCUGGCGGAAUGCUUUACACAUGCAAGUCGAGCGGCAGCACGGGGGCAACCCUGGUGGCGAGCGGCGAACGGGUGAGUAAUACAUCGGAACAUGCCCAGUCGUGGGGGAUAACACUUCGAAAGAAGUGCUAAUACCGCAUACGUCCUGAGGGGGAAAGCGGGGGAUCGCAAGACCUCGCGCGAUUGGAGUGGCCGAUGUCAGAUUAGCUAGUUGGUGGGGUAAAGGCCUACCAAGGCAACGAUCUGUAGCUGGUCUGAGAGGAUGAUCAGCCACACUGGGACUGAGACACGGCCCAGACUCCUACGGGAGGCAGCAGUGGGGAAUUUUGGACAAUGGGGGUAACCCUGAUCCAGCCAUUCCGCGUGAGUGAAGAAGGCCUUCGGGUUGUAAAGCUCUUUCGGCAGGAACGAAACGGUGAGCUCUAACAUAGCUUGCUAAUGACGGUACCUGAAGAAGAAGCACCGGCUAACUACGUG